UACGAAGGGGGCUAGCGUUGCUCGGAAUCACUGGGCGUAAAGGGUGCGUAGGCGGGUCUUUUAAGUCAGGGGUGAAAUCCUGGAGCUCAACUCCAGAACUGCCUUUGAUACUGAGGAUCUUGAGUUCGGGAGAGGUGAGUGGAACUGCGAGUGUAGAGGUGAAAUUCGUAGAUAUUCGCAAGAACACCAGUGGCGAAGGCGGCUCACUGGCCCGGUACUGACGCUGAGGCACGAAAGCGUGGG
rnacentral:rRNA from 1 species